UACAGGUCCCUAUAAAUAUAGUAAAUUACAAAUAGAUUCCUAUACAGUUCAACUUUUAUAUAUUGUUUAUGUAAAAGUCCUGAUAUUUUCAAAAAUGUUCCUGUCAUUUUGUUAAUUAUAGAUUAAAUACUUAACUCUAAUUUGUUAAUACGGUAAAUUGACCCUUUUAUCCCUCUUCAAUUAACAGUUGGAACUUUUGGAGGGAUUUUAGAGGGACAUAAUUGUGAUGGCAAAAAGGUCAUUUCACUUAUAAAAUUUACUACUCCUAACAAAGAGCGGUAAUGCCCCAUUGAUAGACAUUGCUUUAACGGUAACAAAUUAGAGUGAUAUAUUUGAAAACAUUAGGACUUUUAAAGAAACAAUAUAUGAAAGUUGAACUUUGUAAUGAUGUAUUUGUAAUUCACUAUAUUUGUAGGGAUCUGUAUGAAAUUAAUCCUUAAAAUUUAAUUUGCUGUAAUUACUUCAAACUCAGAAUUAUUAUAAUUAAGUACUACAAUUUAAUUUAGGUAAAUAUUAAUGCGCAACCAAUGUAAAAAUGAUAUAGUACUAUUGUGGUUGAUGAUACGAUAAUAAUUGAGAUGUCAUAUUAUUUUUACAUGAACAAUAUAUCACAAUUUAGUCAACUAAAACCUAAUUAUAAUAAUUCAAAAAAUUUUAAGUUAGAGAUUAUAAUAAAGUAAUUGUAAUAAUUCGAAUUUCCUCGAAUGUAUAAUUUUGACAUCUGUAGUCUAAUUUAUCCAAACAACUUUCACCUCGAAACACAACACACACCCACAAAAAUAAUAAAUAAAUAAAAUAGGGAAAACUUUAAACAUCACCUCCGUGGUUUUACAUUUUUUCACUUUAGUAUUCUGUAGUUUAAAAUGUAUCAAUUUAUUGCCCUGUGAUUUCACUUUAAUCUUUUUAUUGUCGAUUUCACUAAUUUUUUUCGUUAAAUCAGUGACGAAGUUAAAACAAAAGAGUGCUAAAGUGAAUAUUCGAUAAAUCUAGAUGGGAUAUCUGAAGUUUUUGGUGUAUAAUUUAACAAAAUAUUAACGAAAAAACUGACGAAAAUAUAAAAAUAAAACCACAUGACACAAAUUUGAUACACUUUAAAUCAUAGGGUACUAAAAUGAGAAUGUGAGAAACCAGGGGGUGGUAUUUGAAGUUUACCCAAUAAAAUAAGAACACGAGGUUGGAGAGCGCGGAUCUAAAAGCACUUCUCCCGCAUCCCGAGAAGCGCUUCUGCGAUUUUGACCACGUCCCUCCGCAUCCGAAGCAGCGGAUAAGCGGAGUCGUCCACGUAAAAGAAGCCCUCUCUCUCUCUCUCUCCUUUCUAGCCCCCGAGAAGCGCUUUUCGGCGACGUUCUCAACGCCACGGGGGGAAUAUUCAUGUCCCAUUUCCUCUGUUUCUGAUGCUCCUCCCAUAGUUGUUUUCAAGGCACCCAACCCUUUCUUUUGCUAUGCUCCGUCAAAGUUUGAAUUUUUAGGGAUUUUGCAUUAAUGGGAGUUCGUUCAUUUGGUGUUUGGAUUUAGUUGUUCACAACCAAUUUGAGGAUUUAGGUCCUUCUAUUCUCUUCUUUAGUUGUUAACUUGUGUUCUUUGCGUCAAAGUUUGGAUUUUUAGAGGUCUUGCAUUAAUGGGUGUUUGUUCAUUUGGUCUUUGGGUUUAGUUGUUCACAACCAAUUUGAGGAUUUGGGUCCUUCUAUUCUCUUCUUUAGUUGUUAACUUGUGUUCUUUGCGUCAAAGUUUGGACUUUUAGGGGUUUUUUGCAUUCAUGGGCGUUCGUUUGUUUAGUGUUUGGUUGUUCACAAACAAUUUGAGGCUUUGGGUCCUUCUAAUUCUCUUCUUUAGUUGUUAACUUGUGCUCUUUGCAUCAAAGUUUGGAUUUUUAGGGGUUUUGCAUUAAUGGGUGUUCAUUUAUUUGGUGUUUCGUUGUUCACAAACAAUUUGAGGUUUUGGGUCCUUCUAUUCUCUUCUUUAGUUGUUAACUUGUGUUUUUUGUGUCAAAGUUUGGAUUUUUAGGGGUUUUGCAUUAAUGGGUGUUUGUUGAUUUGGUGUUUGGGUUUAGUUGUUCACAACCAAUUUGAGGUGUUUGUUGAUUUGAUUUGGUGUGCACAUCCAUUCUCUUUUUAGUUGUUAACAUGCUUUCCAAAUUUACUCUGUUUUGGGUUUCAUUUUUAUGGUGUUGUGUCAUAGUUUGGAUUUUUAGGGGGUUCUGGGUUAAUGGAUUUUGUUGCUGUGCUGUUUGGGUUUAGUUGUUCACAACCAAUUUGAUGUUUUGGGUCCUUCUAUACUCUUUUUUAGUUUUUAGUUAUCAAAUUUUGGUUUUUUGGAGUGUUUUGGAGAGCUUUUAUGUGAUUUUUAGUUGUUAACUUGUUAUACUUGGGUUGUUAAAUUAGUUUUAACAGUUUAUUUGGUAAUUAUUGUUGUAUAAUUGUAUCUUUAGGACUAAUUGAAUAAAUUUGUGUUUUUUUUUCAAAAAAAAAGUUUACUAAUGUUAUUUGUGACACUCAAUUGUUCUAUCUCUUGUCCAAUGCAGAGUUUGAAUUUGUUUCAACUCUCAGAAAUUGAAUCAUAUGUUCUUAAUCUAUGAUUCGUAGUUACUGGUGCUCAAGUUGGUUGAGAUUUUGCAGAAAUGGCUCUACCAAAUGGCGCGAGAAAAAAGGUAAAUUUUUUGAGCUUUUUGUAAUUUUCAUACCCUUUUUCUAAGAUUCAAGGUGACAUUUUAGAAAAAUUUCAAAAAAAAAGAAAAGAAAAAUGAUUGAGUCCUUAUGGUUGGUUUCUGCAGUUCCUUUUCCCGAAUCUGUUUGGGAGUAAAGAGAAAAAAUCAUCAAAUAUAAUUGAGGGAUCAAUUAGCUCAUCUAGUAAGUUAUUAUUUGCUUUAUUUCUACACCUCUUUUUAAUACUCUUUUUGUUCAAUUAGUCAUAUUUUAAUCUAAGAUGCUUAAAAGAAUUUUCUAGUAUUUGAACUUUUUUAAUUUUUACUGUUCGAUCCUCCAAAAAUGAAUGGCGAUCUCACGGUUCGGUUAAAAAGGAGAACGAAAAGAGUUGCGCUAAGCUCUACGAUGUGAAAUUAUGCAUGUUUGCCACUAUUAUUUAUCCGUACUUUUCGGCAAAAGUAGAAAAUGACAUUCUUCUUUGGAGGGAACAACGCAUUCGGUGAAAAUGAUGGCCAUGGAAGCUUUUCCUAAUUAUCUAUACUUUGCUAAUAAAGCAGGAAUAUGUCACUAAUAGAUGAUAACCGACGAGAGAACUCUAUUCUUGAUGUUAGAUGCAAUAGAACAGUAUAUUCUAAUGUUCUUUGAAGAUUAUGUGUGAUUUUUAAUGGAGAUAUAUUACUUUUCGCCUUUCCCUUUUCCUAGUUGUACGUAAUUUACUAUGGACAUUUUGCUUUCUAACUUUUUCUUAUAGAUUAUGAACUCGACCUGUGUAUAACCGAAGUUUUCUUUUUCUUUUUUUCGGGGGGGGUGAUGAAUUUUGUGUAUGCAUUUCAAUUUUAAGAAAAAAAAAAGAUAGAAAUUUAUGGUUAUACUGUUUCCGACUUUGUAAUUGCAGCUGAUUUCGGAGGAAGUCCGGUUAACUCACCAAGAACAUCCUCUUCCUUUUUCAAAAGCUUUUCCGGUAAAUUCCUUUUGAUCUUUUCUUCUUUCUUGUUUCGAACUGUUUUAAUUUGAUUAAUCAUCUCAAAAGCGUCGUUAUAAGUCCCUUAAUUUGUUUUGCCUUCUUUAAUUUUCUUGGUUUUUUGAACUUAUCGAAGGAGAGAGCAAGAGCCUAAGUUUCAGCGACAUCUCUUCCUCAGGAUCAAAUGCUGUUAAAACUGAGGCCUUCAGGUUCGAGUUCGAUAUCCUUCUACAAUUCCAAUUUUUCUCUACUUUUUCCUUUCCUUUAUUUUUACUGAUUUCGCAGUCUCGUUUCAAUUAUUCUCUUUCUCCAGGAUAUUUGUCGCGACAUGGAACGUAGGCGGGAAACCUCCGUAUGUUGGUUUGAACCUCAAUGACUUUCUCCCUGCCGAUGAUCACUCCGAUAUUUAUGUUCUAGGGUAUGUAUAAAAGUUUAAAACUUUAAGCUAUUAAUCCGAUAAAGCAUUAUUUCGAUAUCUUCGUGACUUUAUAACUUGAUGGUUAUCACUUUACCAUUCUUUGUCACCAAUUGAUUUAUAGAGAUAUGUAUUGUAGCUUAUGCAGUUUAUAGUUUGUUUUUUUUAUCUUAUUCUCUGCUGUGCAUUUCUUCAGUUUUCAGGAAAUAGUCCCUCUAAAUGCCGGAAAUGUGCUCGUCGAAGACAACGAGCCGGCGACAAGAUGGCUUACUUUGAUAAACCAAGCCCUCAACAGACCGGUCGACGUCGACUCUGACAGCUUCUCUUACAGUCCAUCCCCCUCCGCCACUUCUGCUUCUCCGCAAUCUGCCACACUCAACACUCCAAUGCCGAAAUUCUCGGAGAAUUUGAGCACCGGUUCUUUCGUCUUCCAAAAAUCUUCACUAAAAGCGGCGAGCGAAACGUUCAGAACACCUCAGCGACGGCAACUGACGAGGUGCAAUUGCCCAGCGGAGGUGAACGAGAAGUCGUAUAGGAGCUCAUGCUUCACAUGCCAACGGGCUCGUUACGUCAGCGAGACCGAUUCGUCGGAGGAAGAGGAGGACGAAGAGGAGGUGGUGUCGAGCAGCUUUACAAUGAAUGAUUUGGCUAAUGCGGCGGUUUCUGCAACGAGUAACCAAUUAAAGUAUAAUCUCAUCGCGAGCAAACAAAUGGUGGGGAUCUUUGUUACCGUGUGGGCGAGGAAAGAUCUGGUCCAACAUGUAGGCCAUCUUCGGCUCUCUAGUGUCGGCCGCGGUGUCAUGGGUUAUCUCGGUAACAAGGUGUGUUUUUUUGAGUCAUUCUAUAUAUUUACAUGCACAAAAUUGUAACUUGUAUACGCUUUUCAGAAGAUAACCUACGGAAAUUUUAGAUGUUAAAACAAUUCUUCUAAGAUUUGUGUAAAACCAUCUGUUUUAGACAUUUCAUUUAUUUGAAGAGUAUAAAAAAAAUUGAUCUUCUAGGGAUGCAUAUCGGUGAGCAUGUCCUUGCAUCAGACGAGCCUCUGCUUCGUUUGUAGCCAUUUGGCGUCUGGCGAGAAAGAAGGCGACGAGUUGAGGAGGAAUUUGGAUGUUAUAGAGAUCUUGAAGAACACUCAAUUUCAAAGGGUUUGCAGAAGAGGCGGACGGAGAGUUCCGGAUAAAAUUCUCGAGCACGAGUGAGAAUCUUAACUGUGACUAAUUGUAUUACAUUACUCUCUAUCUCUUGCUACAUAACUAACCUUCUUUUAUAAAUAUAUGUAUAUAUAUAUGGUUUAGUCGGGUUAUAUGGUUAGGGGAUUUAAAUUACCGGAUUUCGUUGAGCUACUCGGAGACGAGGAAGCUACUCGAGGAGAAUAAUUGGGAUGCUCUCUUUGAGAAGGAUCAGGUAAUUGGGAUGCUUUCGAUCACUUAUCUUCAUUAGUUUUACUUUUCAAGGUUAAAAUUUAUUGUUUUGCGACAUUAAUCGCCUUCUACGUAUUACUAUAAUUACACGCCGCACGCGAAUGUUUUGCUUUGAUAGCUUAAGAUGGAAAGAGAAGCGGGCCGGGUGUUUAAGGGAUGGAAUGAGGGGAAGAUCUUCUUUGCUCCGACCUACAAGUAUUCGUCGAACUCGGAUUCUUAUGCCGGAGAGACCGUGACAUCCAAGAAGAAGAGGAGAACGCCAGCGUGGUAAGUGCCAUCCACAAUGCUAUGUUUAGUAAUCUCGGUUCAUUAUUUUGUUUUUGUUUUUCCUCCUUCGAUAAUGCAAUUACGAGCCUUUAAUGAAUUCGACCGUUCUUGUUUUCAGGUGCGAUCGAAUUCUAUGGCACGGUGACGGAAUCAUGCAAUUGUCUUACAUACGAGGGGAGUCGAAAUUCUCCGAUCAUCGUCCAGUGUGCGCGGCUUUCAUAAUCGAGGUCGGAGUGCUCGACAGCCAACUGAAGAAUGGUUUAUUAACCCCCAAUAUGAAAGUCGGCGCAGAAGAGCUUCUGCCUCCAAGCAGUAGCUGCCCCUAGUAGUUACAGUAAAUCAAAUGCCUACCCUAAAAUAUUAAUUGUCGAUCGCACUCCUACAUUAAUCAAAGCAACGAGUUUCGCGCACUGAUCCACUUUUGUGAUCAAUAGAUUAACUCGUCGUGAAGUUCAUUUUGUCGUGCAGUAAAAGAAACACACGAGAUCGGUAGAGACUGAAUUUCUUGCUGUACAUAUAUUCACGAUGACAAUAUAAUCGGUAAGUAAACUUGGUUUUAUUAAUUUCUGAUUUAUUUUCAUGUUGUCUAUAAUAUGAGUAAUAGUAACUUUUUGUUUAUUUUAUGUCUUCAGGUUUGCUUUCAUCUGCAUUGGUUCCAAAGGGACUCAUGAUGCCGAAGUGCCGUUUCGUUUAUUCUAUUUUUUUUUUCGUUCGAUUUUUCGUUUUGUUUAUAUGUUUGAAAGAUACAGGAGAGAUAAAUGAGGUGAAUAGCAUGUAAAAUGGUUAUCUGAAUAGCCACUGAAAUGUACAAAAAUGUGAUGUGUAAAGUAAACAGCAUUUAUCUGUUUUUUUUUUUUCCUUUUUCAGAAUAGGACAAUUUUCUUUUUUACUCUAUUUUUUCUCCUGAGAAUAGUUUCAGAAACAGUGUCUUAUCUUAGUUCUCAGAUAUGAUUCAUUUGUAAAUGACUCUUUCUUUUCUCUUAUAUGGAACAAGUGGUAAAUUGUCGGUAUGUUCAAGUAUUGUGUUCUCGGAGUUAAAAUUCCGAGUUUUAUUUGGUUGGAAUCUAAUCCUAACCAUGAGAUUUGGUCACACUAUGCUCUUAAUUCGGGCUCAAAACUCGACUUAUAUUGUUUCAAAAAAUGUGUGUCGCUUAUUCGUCAUCAAUUGUGAAUUCGCAGGAAUCACAUUGUUCAGGACUGAUGAUUUCACCUGAAAAUGCAAUGCAGAGGAUCCAAACUCUCAAUUAUGUUCUAAUUUUCAGAAUUUAGCUGAUUUACAACUGCUCAAUUUGUAAAUUUGGUAUUAAUUUGUGCGAAUUUUCAAUCGAUGCCACACGCAGAUGCUUGCAGAUAAAUUCGAUCCAGUUCGUCGCAAGACGACAAAUAAAAGCAGGAGUGAUUGAUCUGCAGACACUUUCGGAACUUCGAAUCCUCCAUUCAGAAUUUUGUGAUGUUCCAUUCUGAAGAGCAUGAGCAAUAGUCAUCAUACAUAUGCAGGAGAGUUUUCUUGGAUUGAAUUUUAUAUUUUCUUUUUUUGUAUUCUUUUUUUGUUGUAAUUUUUGUUUGUUUUUUGAUGAUUGAGUAUUCAUGUUAAACUAUUGAAUGGAAUCUGAGUUUCUUCACCCUCUGUUACCUAUAUUUCCUCUAUAAAUUGUUUGAUUUUGAUGAUUCAACAACAACAAAAUGCCAAUCACUUUUUUCCCUUAUCUAUAUACCUUAGUCCUUUUUAUGCAUUUUUUUUGGUCAAGGUGAAUCAUAAUACUUUUGAUAAAUUCAAUCAAAGUUCUGAGACAAGUUAUAAAUAGAUAGUGUUCUAAUUUCAGAGAGAGAGAAAGAGAGAGAGAGAGAGUUGUUGUAGACUUAAAUCUUUCAUUAGUGAGAGCACCAUCACAGCAUACAAUUUUUUUUUUUUUGGUGACAUUAUAUAUGAUUCCACAAUAUCUUACCACCUAAGCUAAAAUAGUUUAACAUAUAAUUAUAUUCGACCGAUUCAACCGUUUUGACGGUGACCCAGCUAAUAAAACGGUUCAAUUCAAACCUUUGAACCGGAUAAGCUAAAAAUUCAAUUUAAACCAUUCAAACCGGAGUGAACAGGUGAGCCAGUCCGAUUUUGAAUAAAUUUGUUUGUUAAUGUAAUUUAUAAUAUUACUUACAAUUAAUUUUUUUACUAAAAAAGUAAAAUAAAAAAAUAAUUAAAUAUUUAUGACUUCUUAUUGAUGUUACUGGUUCAAUCAGUGGUUGAAUCACUGAUUAAAAUAGCGACCCUUGACCGAGUAAUACUCGGGUCACUUUUCGACCCGAUUUUUAAAAAAUUACUUUUUAUGCCUUAACCACCCUCUAUAUUUUGCAUCAAAAUUUCAGUUUACCACUAUCUCAAAUAGGUCUAGCAAUUUAGAACAUUGUUGAAUUUGGAUUAAAGGGAAAAACCAAAAAACAGGUUAUAAUUGGUUACAGUGAAAGUACAUGUUUCCAUUACAUUUAACACCUGAUGCAAUUAAUUUUUCUAAAUUAACUUAAACAAUCAUAAGUUGUAUUAAAAUCUCAAAUUUUGCUAAGAAAAUCAGGAAACAGGGUUUAUUGGAAAGAAUUUGAAUUUUUAGAAGGCUAUCCUUGUGAAUAAAAGGAUUUAUAUGUGAGAAUAAAAGGAUAUCUUGGAAAAAAUUUAGAUUUUUUUUUUUUUAACUAUUUAUUGGAAAGUUGGAAAUUUUGUAGGAGUAUAUAGGCAAUUACUCCUAAAUUUUGAAGUGCAAUUAAUGUGCUGUAACUCUUAUAACUUUUUGGGGGAUGCAAAUGGGUUGGGCUGGCCAAUCGGGUCUCCGGCCCGACCCGGAAAGCAAAUAGUAUUGGGUUCAGUUAUUUUAGGUUGGGAUUGGGUCAAUCACACUCAACCCAAAUUGGAGGGGUGAAGUGUAGGGCUAGCAAUCCAGCUCUCCGUUCAUGAGCCAACUCGUAUUCGGCUCGAAAUGAGCUUGAAAUUAGUCGCUCGUUUAAUAGAGCCACAAAUGAGCCAAAUUUUUCAGCUCGAAAUCUUAACGAGCAGAACACAAGUGGGCUAACUCGAAAUGAGCUAAACGAGCCAGAUACGAACAAGCCAAAUUUUCAGCUCAAAAUCUUAACAAGACAAGCACCAGCUAGCGUCAGCUCGCUCUUGUUCGACUUGAUAUAGCCCGAAUUGUGUGUUCAAGAAAAUCCCACAACCCAAUUUAGUUGACUAAAUAUUAACGUGCAGCUGAUACGAAAGCGAUGUAGCAGUAUUGUAAUUGAUAACACGAUAAUAAUUAAGACGCCACGUCACUUUUACGUCAGCGACAUAUUAAUAUAUUUCGUUAACUAAAAUUGGGUUGUGGGUCUUAAUUAUAAUAAUUCAAAAAGUUCAAGUUAAAAAUUACAAUAAACUAAAUUUUGGGCACCUAAGUGUCACACACCUCAUGGUUCGAGGACCAAAAGUGUAAUGUACCCUAUCAUAAUAUAAUAUUAUAAAGCUUUAAAACACAAAAAAUAAUUAAUGCACUUUAUUCUAACACAUAAAAGAACCAAUAAAAUUUGAAUGUAAACUCACUUUAUUCUUCAAUCUUGGUGCUCAAUCAUCAUAACUAUAAAGGAAAAAUAGCUUCUAUUUUUGUAGUUUGAAUUUACAACAAAUAUGUACAAGACACGCGAUCGAAACGACUGUUCAAUUAGUAACUUCGCUAAAAAAGAAAAACCUACUAAACUAUUUGGUAAAUUUUUAGAAAGUCCAAUCGAGAACAUAAAAAGUUCAAACGCAUCUGCUACCACAAGCACUAAAGGUUUAAAAAAGAUUAUAUAUAUUUUUAAAAAAAUUAAAUAUAAAAUAAAAAGUUCAUGUAUUCCAAAUUGCAGUGUCUUGCUGUUGUGGAAUCUGGGCUCUAAGUGGAAUCCUUUCUACAAAGUAUCAAGUAUGGGCAGGUUAAUUACUGGGGUGGGAUACAGUUAAAUCUCACCUAACAUAAUAAUGGGGGGGGGUGAGCCCCACUAAUCAACAAUUAUAAAAUAAUUGAUGAUUUUUAUUGCAGAUCCAUGAUCAUGAUGAUGAUGAUGGUGCUUGAAGUCACCUGUCCUUCAAAAUAUUUAAUGGUGGGACCCACCUGACAUCAAAUAGAAUAGGCCACCAAUAAUUGGGAGAGAGACAGGUGGAAUUCCUUCCGAGUCCACUUUCACAUUUGAUAAUAAUAAUAAUAAUAAUAAUAACAACAAGUUAAGUAACCUGUGUUCCGCUACGAAUUCAUUUAUUUUCUUUAUAAAUAAUUAAUAAAUAAUUAAAUAUAUUUUUUUAUAAAGUAAAUAAUAAUAUAUUUUAAUUAAUUAAAUAAGAAAGUUUUAGAUAUAUUUCCACAUGCGAUUAAUUGUAUCAGAUAUGUAAAUUUUGAUUACAAACAAUAAUACUAAUCUUAACACUCGUUCGGUUUCAGAUUAUAAAUUCAUAAGUUUGUAUUUUAAUUAUAAUAAAACUUUAAAAUAGAUAAUUAUUUAUGCCUAAUUUUAAAUAUUUUAGAUUGUAUGUAUUAAUAUUAAUUUUAAUUUAUAAUUAUUUAGAUAUAAAUAAUCCAUUUUUAUAAAAAACACUACAAUUAAGUUUUUUAAAAUAUAUUUAAUUACAAUAAUUACAUAAAAUAUACUAACUAAUAUAUAAAGCUAAGCAACAAUUCAAAAAUCAUUAAUAUAUAUAUACUUUUAAAUUUUAAUUUAAAUUUAAAUUUAUUUUUUGUAUGUGGCCAAUAACACUCUAAAAUAAGAAGGAUUAGAAAAGAAAAAAAUCAAAAAAAAGAGAGAGAUGGGAGUGGGUCUAAAAUAAAUAAACCAGCUUAAUAAUAAAAAGCUCAUUGUAAUAUUAAAAAAAUAUAUAAUAUUUUUUAUUUAUUUCUGUGUAGAACUUACAAAUAAAAAAAUUAAAAAAAUUAAUUAAAGUAAAAAUACUAUCUUUGUUGAUUCUCAAAUAAAUUAUUAUAUAUUUAUAAUAAAAUAUUAAAAUUUUAUAUAUAUAUAUAUAUUUAUAUAUAUACACGUGUAUUCAAAUUUGGGUUGUCGACAGACCCAUUUUCAGCGGAAAAAUUAGCCGUCCAUUUUUUUCUUUCCGUACGAAAAAUUUUUAAUAUAAGAAUAAAAAUAGAAAUAAAAAACAGUAAUGAAUACGUAAGUUCUCUAUAACAGAUUAGAGAUGUGAAAUCUUAAAAUAUAAAUUUUUAUUUAAUUUCAAAAGUAAGUUUUUUAUAACAGAUUACGGUGGUGCGAAAAUCCUAUAAAAAAUAUUUUUCUAUUUUAUUUUAAAAUAUCUUUUUUAGAUAUUAUCUAUUUAAUUUCAAAAUAUAUUUUCUUUUUAAGAUAACAGAUUUUAUUUUUCAUUUAAUUUCAAAAUUUAUUUCCUAACAGAUUUUAUUUUUCUAUUUAAUUUCAAAAGUAAUAUUUUGCAUUAGAGUUAUGUUAAUUAUUUAUCAUUUAAAGCAUAUCUUUCUUAAUAGCGUGAUUUAUUAUUUUAAAUUUUUUAGAUACAUAUUUGGUAAUCAUAUAAAAUAUGGCCUAAAAUUAAAAAAUAAUUUAAAAAAAUAUAGUUUUUUCUAAUAAUUAUUACGUAUAUUUGCACGUACAUUUUACUAGUAUAUAUAUAUAUAUAUAAUCUCAAAGAGAGAGAGAGAGGGGUCCACUGCUCUCUCUCCCUCAGGUGGUCCACGAGGUGAUGCUCACCUCAUGGACCGCGUGCAAAAAGGGAAAGUGAGCCUUGCCUUUUUGCACUGUAGUUUUUUAUUGGGCUUGCGUGCUAUGUUAGAGACUCGAACCAGUCCAAAAACUUAGAUUGAUAGCUACUAUUCUUUACAGGGAACCCUCAGAUCAGAUAUUUAGCUUCGCUGUAUGUUACUUUUUAUUGGGCUUGUAACGGAAGCGUGGAAAUUCUAUCUCAAGAGAAAUACACUUUUGGAUACUCUAAAAUGUUGCCCCUAAGAAUUGAUAAGGUGUUAGCAAUUUCAUGCAACACUUUGAAAUAUAAAUCUUUCGAAGCCCUUCGCAUCAUAGUUGUCAACGCACUAACAAUAUAUGACAACCGCGUGACGGCAUGAGAGACCAGUAGCAAUACUCUUAUUUUAAAUUAUUUUUUAAAUAAUUCGAUAGUUGAUCUAGAGGUCCAUGUUAAUGAUCGAAAGAACCAUUAGUUGAACCGACACGAAGUGACAUUCAUUGUUUGUCACUUUUUAAUGCGUCCAAAGUGCACUUAAACAAUAUCAAUUGAGGCAAACAAUAAGAACAAAAGGCUAAAUCAACAUUUAACUGCAAGAUAAAAUUUACACGUAACAAAAUUAAACCAACUAAUUGGCAAAGAGGCUAGUACCAUACUAGAAAAGAAUUAUCCAUUUACUUGUACUCUUUGUUAAUUUAUUUGUCCUAUCUAGCAAGUAUCUGCUUUUACUUUCGCCUGUAGUCAUAUCUAAUAGUUUGUUUAGUAAUUACUAAUGAAAAUGAAUAAAUAAUUCUACUCCUAACUCAUUGGAAAGAAAAAAAAUAUUACGAGACCUAAUUUGGCAUUCUUAUUUUAUUACAUGUGAAGUCACACAGAAAAUUUUACUAUAAUACAUGCUUCUGUUAAUAGCAUUACUAGCUCAAAACACUGCACUAAUUUGAUUUCUUUUUCAAGAUUACUGAAAAUGGUGUCUAGAAUCUCAUUUAUUAGCUACAGCUAUAUAUCCACCCCUUUUUUCUUUUUUUUUUCUUUUUUUUUUUUUGUGGUUUUCUCUCCCUCUUUCCACCUGUAGCUGUUGUUGUCUAUUUUGUUGGUCCAAGCAAAUAAUCUUUUUUUUGUACUUUUCUUUCAUUACUGACACAUUUUGUUGCCCACUUGUUCCACACCAAUAAGAUGCACCAGAAUCUAGGGCAUAAAUGAAUAGCUUAAAAACUACUCAUACUGUUAUAGUUGUCCAAACUACUGUACACUUUUACAUAAUCUAAUUAGCUAGCCUGAGACAUUAACUAGUGCUACAUGUAUUACUCAACUUAUAUACUUAUUAUAUUUUCAAGAGUUCAACAUUAAAAUCGACCGUCCCUAGAGCAAGUGGCAAAGGGUUUGGUGGUUGGUACCCAAGACUCAAGUUCGAAUUCUAGUUGAUUCAUAUUUCCAGCUAAGUUUUUUUCUAAAUGAAAUAAAACGAAACGGAUAGCAUGCUUUAAAAAAAAAAAAAGAAAAAGAGUACAACAUUAAAGAUGUGAGUGAGAAGAGAUUUAUCCAAUGAUUCAUUCUGGGUUUAGGUAGAAAGAGCAAUGAUAUAUACUACCACCAUUGUCGGACAUAGUUUUCUUUUUUCGUUCUUUUUGAACGCAUAUUAUUCGUUUUAUUCAUUUUCCAUCGGUGCUUUUCUUUAUUUAAAGAUUGACAAUUGGAUUGAACGUAUGGAAUGGAUGAAUUACCAUUAAUGGAUUCAUAGUUAUAUAUAUUGCGUACCGAUGCAUGCACCAGAUGCAUACAGAUAAUAAUUUUUUUUAUCGAAAAUUCAUUUUGAAUGCCCAACAUCCAACUGAGUUAAAAGUUUGCGAACCAAAUAAAAACUCAACUUAAAAUUUAUAGAGUAGCGUAAUUUAUCGUGAAAACAUCAGGACUAACUUCUAUUUAAAAAGGUACAUAAAAGGGGCUACAUAAUCACAAUCUUAAUACAUUUUUACAUGAAUAUUUACAAUGUGACAAAUCCAAGUUUCUACUCUCGUUGAUGCAAUGAAGAGUUUCUCUUUGUAAGAUCGUAUCGCAUAUGUCGCUCUCGGCAUUCGGCGCUACAAAAAGCACUCUCACCUCUGCAACCACAAAAAUCAAGUAUACAUCUAUUACUUUUUAUUUGUCUAAAAAAAACUAUUUUUUGCAGGUAAUUAAAAGAGGGGGAAAAGCAUAUGUUUUGUGAUCUGCAAUAUAUUUUUUUCGCUUUUCUUAUUUGAUUAUUUAAAAUAACAGAUAGAAGAACUAUGUGAUAAAAUGUUGUUUCUUUGUUCAAAAAACAUGGAGUUUUUUAGUGAUAGAACUAGUGCAAAUUAAGUGAAAUAGUCAUGUUUCUGACUUAAAUUAAUGUGCAAUUCUACUCUUAAAUGAAGUUAAUUUUCUUGAAUAUUCAAAAAUAAAAAAAGAAUUUUGUUGAGUUACACAAGAUAUAUAUAUUUGCUCAAAAAGAAAAGGAAAGCUAAAAAUCAUGAGAAAGAAUUUAACUAGCAAUAGUGUAGCUACAUUUGAGCAAUUAUUUCAUAUACUCAUGGUAUUAUACAUAGCCUACCAAAGUUGGAAUUAAAUUGAUUAAAAUCAUAUAUGAAAUGAUGAGCGAGCAAGUUAAAUGCACCUGUAAAUGUAGAUAUCGCGUUCUAAUCCGAGGGGGCGCCCACACGCUCCGCAAGAGUGCAGGAAAUCGAGCGGUUGCGAAAGCUCUCCAACCUUCUCACCAUCUUCUUUUAUGGACUUCGAUUCGAUACAAGUCGAGGCAUCACUGCUUAUCUUUGCCCUUCUACUUUCAUCAUGAUUCUCAGUUUGAACCUCGUGCGUGAUCUCUCCUUUGCUCGUCGUUCUCGUCAUCGCUCGCGGACGUUUUCGAUGAGAGGACUCCGACAUGCUCGACCGAUCGAUUAGAGACGCAGAAAUCUAAGCUCAAAGCCUCUCAACAUUGAAGACUCUCUCAAGUGUAAGCUUAUGUGAUCUUAUAUACCAUUUUCUUAGGUAGUGAGAGUGCAUGAAUGAGAGAAAGUUAUUGGUGUGCUUUAAUGAUGCUAUAUAUGUUUAUAUACCUUUUACCUUUUUCCAUAUCAAGGGAAUUAAAAGAGUGUUGGGAAGGUCCAUGUUCCAUCCUAGGGUUGAUGAAUGUGAUGUAAUUUGUAGCUUACAAAACAAGCAUGAAGGUGUAAAAGUAGUAUAUAUAUAAUUUUGUCAUUAUUAAUUUAAUCAGUACAUUUUUUGCGUUAUCGCCUAUAUAUCACUAACCCUUGUGACAUUUUUGUAUGUUGUAUCUUAAGGUACAAGCUACGAAUGACGUCGCAUUACGGAUUCGAAACGAAUUAAAGAAGCGUACAAGUUAGUUUGAUUCGACGACCAAGCGAUGUGGAAUUGUUUUAGGGCAAUUGUUUUCAUGAGAAGAAAUAUUUGUACAAGUUCUUGGAUUAAUUUGUGGUUGAGCACUCAUUAGCAAGACCAAGAAUAUUUGUUUUAAUAAACCCUUCCUAUUUUUGAUGAAUUAUAUAUAUUGCAAAGUCAACUAAGAAUAGAAUCAUAUUGUUGACACAAUCUUUUUCGUAGGAAGAUUAUUUUGAUUCAAAUCAAUUUAAAUACUCUUUAAUAUUUGAUAAAUCUUUUUCAUUGGAAGCUUCUUUUGAUUCAAAUCAUUUUAAAUACUCAAGGUUUGACACAAUUAAAACUUGUGCCUUUUAAUUAUUGGUAACACUUCCAUUACUAAGGAAAGGAACAUAAUUAGCUUUCUCCUUUUUAGGUAAAGAUCGAUAGCUAGGGAUUUUGUGAUAAAUAAUUGGUUUCUUAAUGACAUGGAAUAAUAAAAAAUAAAGUUAUUUUACUCUCAAUAAUAGUACUAGACACUGUUAAUUAGUUGUCCUAUGUUGUUAAUUAGUAAAUUUGUGACCAUGGUUUUUGCAUCUCCAGACCUAUCAACACUCAAUAACAAAACACCUGAAGAUUAAUUGUUCUUGAAUUGGUUGGAGAAUACCAUGCAUAUUUAAAUUAAUCAAGCAUAACAUCUUGUUACGACAAACGCACAAACGGAAACGAAACGACGAACACAAAAAACAAUCAAACCACAAGCAGAAAAAUAAAGAGACACAGAUUUACGUGAAAAACCCUUUGCAGGGAAAAACCACGGGCGAGGGACGAGAGAUCUUCACUAUGGAACGAAAAGGGAAUACAAAGUUCUUUAGGUUACAACCAACCACGAUCACACGCCUCUAGGGCAUAAACGAUAAACGAAAAGAAAAACUCAUAACGGGUUUCAGNCCGAGCCCUCCGCUACCCACCACAGACAUUCAUUUUUCCUUUAUAAUUUUUUUUUCCAAAUUGGUCGUACCGCGAAGCUGUCGGCAAGUCGUAAACCCGAACCUGAAUCGAUAGUAGAUUUCGAGUCACAUCUAACACAUCUGAGUUCAAGAGAAAUUUACUUUUUUCCCCCCUAAAUAAAGCUAAUUCAGGAGAAAUCAUUGUAUAGACCUAAUCCAUGAUGUUUUCCACGAACAUAAAAUAUGAAUGUUAACCAACAAACAUAUGAUCUACAACCUCUAAAGGAUUGUUUGGUUGCAUACAGUUGCAAUUGUACUUCAAUUAUAACUACAUAUAAAUCCAAGCAGUAUUGUAGUUAUCACUAUAUGCAUAUCCAAAUUGGUAUCUAGUUUGCAUUUGAAUCCGACUACUAUAGUUGGAAUUGCAGGAGGAGACCCAACUAUUACAGUUGGAGUAACUUUAAACAAAAAAUGAAAGGUAAACUUCUAAUACCAUCCCUUGUGGUUUCGUACUUUUUUAUUUUAGUACCCUGUGGUUUAAAGUGUAUCAAGUUAGUGUCCUAUAGUUUCACUUUUAUCUUUUCGUCAGCUUUUCUGUUAAUAUUUUUUUAAAUUAUAUACAAAAAACUUCAGAUACCCCACCUAGAUUUAUCGAAUAUUCACUUUAGUACCUUUUAGUUUUAACUUUGUCACUGAUUUAACGAAAAAAAUUAGUGAAAUCGAUAAUAAAAAAAUAAAAAUAGAAUCAUAGGACACUAAAUUGAUGCACUUUAAACCACAGGGUACUAAAGUGAGAAAGUGUAAAACCACAGGGGUGGUAUUUGAAAGUUUUCCCAAAAACAAACUUAACUUCCUAAUCAUUAUUUAAAUAGAAUUUUUUUUUCCCUUCUACGUCGGAAGUCCUCUCAACUAUAUAUAUGCAACCAAACAAAAUAUUAAUAGUUGCAUUACCCUUAUACGACAUCCAAUUAAACAGGAUGCUUAUAGUUAUAAAUACGUCUCCAAUUAUACUGAAGUAUCAAUAUACAGAAAAUCAUUAUUUUUGAAAAAAAAAAAUCUUAUUAUCUAAACAUCCAGUAGCCAAAAAAAACAGUGGCGCUUAAAUAACUAUCCUUAUUACAUGAGACUAAUUAUUAGAAUAAUUUUCAAUAUAUAAAUAAUUUAGGUGUUGUAAAUUAUAUAUAUAUACUAGCUUACAAUUUACUUUGAGGCCUCAAAUAAUUGAGUACCAGGUUUGGUAUGAAGAGUACAAGCUACUACAAAUCCCCAAAAUGCUGCCUUAUGGUAUUCUCCUCUUGUUCUUUUUUUCUUUUCUUUUACUUUUCUCUUUUUCUUUUGAAAAAGAGAUAUCAUGACCUUUGUGUAACAUUAUUAUCAUAUAUAUAUAUCUAAUUUUAGAAGUAUGGUUCCAAUUGAACCAUAAGAUGCCACGUGGCGCACUUACAUGAAAAGUUCUAAUCUGCCACGUGGCGCACUUAUCAUAAUAUAUAUAUUUUUAACUUAUCAUAAUAUAUUUUUUACUUCACAUAUAUAUAUAUAUAUAUAUUAUCAUUAUAUAUAUUUUAUAUAUUAUCAUUAUCAUUAAGUAAUUAUAAGAGAGCAUAACUACACGUACCAAAAAAUAACUGCACAGCAAUUUUUUUUCCUUAACCGUACAACAGUUAUUUUUUUUCCUAAACUGCACAACAGUUAUUUUUUUUUCUUAACCGCACAACAGUUAUUUUUUUUCCUAAACCACACAACAGUUUUUUUUUUUUUCUUAACCACACAACAGUUAUUUUUUUUUUCCCUUUUUUUCUUUGAUUGUGAGGCAUAUUUAUCUUUCACAGUUAAUAUCUAAAACGUUACAAAUUUUAUCAUCCAUAUGUAUGUAUUACAAGUGAAUGCCAUUAUUUUAUUAAUGUUAUCAUCCAUAUGUAUGAUAGAUGGAGGCAGACUUAUUUUCCACCUUUAUGCACCAUCUUUCUACAAAAGGCAAGUUUAUUUCAAAAUUUGAAAAUAAUUACGUGUAAUGAUUUGGUCGGUUUGUAAUGUAUAUAUUAUCUUCUCUUUUUUUUCAGGAUACAUACCACUAGCUUUGGACUUCGUCAUAGUAUUGAAAUUUUCAGAGCGCAUAAAUAUUUGCCCCUAUCCCAAGAAAUACUCAAUAAUUACUUUUGGGAGGUAUGUUUGAUAUUUAUAUUUAAAUUUUUGAUUGAUUUGUUGAAAAUAAUUGAUAAACAUACAUGACUAAUUAUUCACAAUAACAAGAACUUUUUAGUUUAAAGGAAUCAUAAUAUGAAUCAUGCUUCACAAGUUCUAAAAAAUUACUUUCCAAAUUUAGUCACUUAAAAUUCUUCAAAAAAUAAGUUUACAAAAUUAGUCAUAAAGAAUUUGAAAUAAGAUUAAUUAUAUAUAAAUAAUAAUUAUGUUAAAUUUCUAAUGGAUUUGAACCUUUUUACUUCUUCAUUUUAAAAUCUUUUUAUUUUAAAUUAUUUACUUACAUUCUAUUAGUAUAUCAUGAUAGUAUUAUUUUAAUUUGAUUCAAUAAUUUUUCUAAUAAAAGCUUAAUAUGCAAAAAAUUAAUAUAUAUUAUAUAAAAGUUGUCAUAAAAAGAUAUUAAAAAACCUUAAUAUCUAAAAAUUAAUAUUAUAUAUUAUAUAAAAGAUGUAAUUUAAAAGAUAAAAUUAAAAUCCGUGCAUUGCACGGGUUAGUUGCUAGUUUAUAUAUAUUAUGAAGGCAGAGGCUUGGAACCCUUUUUUGUUGCAAAAUAUAAAAUCAGAAGUUCAAAUCCCUGACCUAUCAAAAAUCUUUUCAGAAUAACAAUAAAAUGCCCUAAAUUGUGGUUAUUUUUAUUAACAUACAUAACAUGAAUGUCCUGUAUAUUUGUCGGCACAUUAAUGAUUUAAAAAGAUAAUAUUCUAAAGGACCCAAAGCAUACAUUUGCAUGAAAGAGAAAAAUGUACCAUUUUAAUAAAAAAUAGCAACAUCAAAGGGAAAAGGAAAAAAAAAUGAAAUGAUAAAGAGGUUUCUGAUUUGAUGUUUUAACAAACUCCAAUGUAGUUGAUAAGCGUUUUAAUGCUCAUAGCAUUUCUCAUUCUAUAACCAAUCAAAAAUUUGAAAAAUAAACUUAGUUGGAAUAAAGGCCCUAUUUUUCUCCAAUAAUUAUUUGAUGUGUUUAUAAUCACAACGUCACGGUGCGGUACUAUCUAUUGUUUUUCUAUUAUAAAUUAAUAUCUACAGAGUUAUAGAUUUGCAUAUUUGUCUCUGCAAAUGUGGAUCUUCGUGUAACCACCUUAAAAUGUUUGGUUUCUCAUAUAUGAUUCUAAAAUGUAAAAACAUGUACAAGUACAUGGCUAAUUUGAUUGGGGCAAUGUUGGGGUUAAAAAGUUCCUACUUUGGAGAAAGAAAUUUUAGUUAACUUUUGUAGAUCUGAACAUCAAUACGAACUUGCUUUUUUUUUUUUUUUUAAUUUGAAGUUGCUUGUAAGUGUAAACAUCUUAUUGCAAGGUCAGUUUAGAAAUCUGUAGUAAAAUACUAGACUAAAUUACAGAAAACCUUUCUGUUAAUACCCGCUUUUUCACUUUUUUUUCCUGUUAUUUAAAAACCUAUAUAUUUUCUCCCUUGAAAAAUAAACAAUAUUCACAGAAGGGUAUGGUGUGACAAAAUGACCAACUUGUCAUUAUCUUCUUCGUCUCCUCUCCAAUCCUGCUCAUCCUGCACCCUCGCCUGCGCCUCCCUCACCCAAGCUCCGACUCCAUUUUCCCCACCUGCUCUCCUGCUCCUCCAGCACCCUCAUCGUUCCUCUUUUUUGACGAUUGUAGGAAGGAAAUCGUGGUGGGUAUGGGCGGAGAGAUGGGUGAAUGCAAGGCGAGGGUGAAGCGGCGGAGGAGAGCGAGGGUGUGUGUCUGGGUACGGACAGAGAAGUGCGCUAGGGCAAGGCGGCGGAGUAGGGCGAGGCACCGCAGCGAGGAUGUCAGUGAGGAAAUGAUCUAUUAGUUGUAAUCAAUAUUAAACUAUAAUAUGCUUAAUAUAAAAUGAUUAGGUGCUUUUUAAGAAUACCCAUAAUCCAUUGCUCCGUUCUUCCGCUAAACCACAUAGAUUUUCUAGCAAUCGCAUUAGUUAACUUUCAUGUGUAUAAAUCACAAUGCAUACUUCGACGUAUGAAAAUUUGGAAGUCACAACAACUCGUAACGCCCCAAAGAUAAUCUCACAUUAGAUGGAAAAAACAUUAUGAUUAAGUAUAUAAGGAAAUAAGGAAUAGAAACCGUAAUAAUAAUAACUAAACUUAAAAGUACUUUGAACCGAUGGUUCAAGCCCAAUUAGUUAUUAUUGCAAGUUGGCCCGAUCGUUAUAUUUGAUGUCAGAGCCGAAUACCAAUUAGAUGUGUAAAACUUAAAUAUUAUGUCGGAUAAAAUGCUACACCAUGGGUUUGAUAGAAGCCACCAUUUCACCUAAUAAUUUUGAUCUAUCUACGUGAUCAGAUUUGGGCACGACGAGAACAUCCACCUCUAGAAUCUCACCGCUCAGUAUGUUGAUCUAUGUAAGUGAUCAGAUUUCGACAAGGACAUCAGGAUCUCAAUGAAAGAGUCUUUAAUACUCCCCAGUGCUCUCAUAACUGAAGAGAAAUAGAUUAUGAUUAGUUAUAUAAAAUUCAAGAACCCUAAUAAUAAUAACUAAGCUUGGAUCGAUGGUUUAGUCCCAAUAAAUUAUUAUUACUAGCGAGUUGAAUCAUUACACAACAUCUUGUGCUUUAGGGUAUUUAAUCAUUAAUCAUUAAGCUAUGGAUGCAGAAGCCCAAACUUUAUCUCCUAAAAACAAAGUCUCCUUAAAAAAAUGAAAAGAUAAAUAAAAAUAAUUAGCAAAAAUUUCAAAAAGCCACUCUAUGGUCGGCUCUAUUGCACUUUACAAUCAUGUGCUUAGACAAGUGUAGCACAGCCAUUUAUUUAGUUUUCUAUAUAAGAACAAGUCCUUAAAAAAGGAUAGCUGUAACAUAUCCUUAAAAAAGGAUAUUGAGGUGCCACACAUGACGAAAACAUGAAGUGGAUUUCUGAACUUUACUCAACAUUUGCAACAUUUUAGUGAAAACACUUGUCCAAACUUCUGAUCAGAACUAGAAAACCUGUAACUUAAUGCUGGAACUGCGCAAGUAAUCUCGAUAUCAAAAUAAAGCAAUCCUCCGCAAGUCUCUUUUCCGAGAAAUCCUUGAUUGAUCUCUUCGCCUCUCUCAUCGGCGCUCCAGAUGUCAAAGGUAACAUCCGACACCUGAGACCCACUAUCCGAUAACCUAACCAACUAUGCGAUUGCCACCGUCCAUUGCUUUUUGUUGCAUCUGCUGCCCUACAUAUCCUUGCGAGUCGGAAGAUUUUACUUGAAAAGAUCUUGCAGGUCGAUUAUAUCUGCAAGGACUCCCGCAGCAGUAGUGUCAUUACCGGCUCCUGCACCCUGAAUCACCAGAGGCGAGUUGGCGUAACAGUGACUGCAUAUCUCCACCUGCCAGUAUGAUUACAAAUGCAGCGUAAUUAGGCAUUUUUAGCUCGGCGGACCACUGACUAAAUUAUUAGGGUUAUCAAUGUUCAAAAACCAAUAUAUACGGCAGCACAGAAUGGGGAAAAAAAAAAUCACUAAGGGGGCAAGAUUUAAGAUUGCAGCAAACAUUUCCUGCUAGCUUAAUAUUCAAAAUGUGAAAGUUACAUAAUGAAAUGCCAGUAUUGGUCCCCCAAAACAACCUGGAACCACAAUCCGGAUAUCACAUUCCAAAUUGUGGUGCGUUCCCGAUCUGGAUAGCCAAAAGUGGUGAACCGAAAAUAGUGUGCAAAGGUCUAAUACGUAGAGAUUAGCGUACUGCAUCCCCGUAACCGUACUACCUACCACCAAUACAAGGAAACAAGGGUGCUUGUGAUAUUUUGAACUUUUAGAGUUUAUGUGAGCAUUGGUGAAACUUUGCCAAGAAAGAACCAACACAAAAAGGUUAAGGGCAUACCACAUUGUCACUUCCUCUUAAUCUCCCCAGUGGAGAAUCUUUCGGAAUCUCUUGGAGACCUACCUGACACCUGGAAAAAGAACCGUUAGAGCAACAGAUAACGAAAUCAAGUUUCACAUAAUAAAGUUUUCCGAAGUAAAUAGCGAAAACAACAAAAAAGAUGGGAUAAAACACCAUCCUAGGAACAGAACUAAUUGUCAGGUAUUAUAUCUGACGACAAGGACGAUUGUAGUAGAAUGAUCCAUGCUACUUUCCUAUUACAACUUAUGGUCAAAUAUAAUAAAAAAAUACCUUGAGUUCUCAAUAACGCAAACAUAGCGAAGAACAUUUCCUUUUGAAGAGGCAGCUGUAACACGUUCCUCGAUACUUUUAUCAAGCUGUGAAAUGGCACUUCCUAGAAAGACCUCUGUGGUCAUUGAACCUGGUCCAAAUUCACUAGGGUACAAACUCUCGACCUGAAAAACAAACGAUACUGAAAUUAGAACACUUGAGAUAAAAUAAUAGGUAAUAUUGCCGUUCUUAUAGCCAUCAUUUACAAAGCUGAGUUGAUCCGUGAAACUCAGGGUGCAUAAAGAAAGGAAACUAAAGUUAUAUUUAUUUCCAUGGAAUCACAAAAAUUUUUUAAAAAAAAUGAAACUAGGAAAAGGCUUAGAGCAUAGACCUUUAUAUCAUUCAGGCUCAUCUUCCAACCAAGAAGUCUAGCAAGGAUUAAUCCCUGUUCCAAAGCAAACCAUGAGAUCUAUUGUUUAAAUCACCAAUGUUUGCAAAAGCUACUCGUGUUGCGGUAAAAAACUAUGGCCAUGCUUCCUGGCAAUUAAAAGGCUUUUGACCAACCUUGAGUGAAAUACACCUAGGCUACUAAAGACAAAUAAUCCAUACAGCAUAUAAAAACAUGAAAUUCAUUAUGCUAGAAUUAAGUUGGAUUAGUAGACACAGAAAGUAACUAAAAAAAAAUUGUUUUUUGUGCAUCACAAUUACAUUCAGCAAGAGAACACAUUUAGAAUUCUCAGGAGAAGUAAAAAUGAUGAUAUAUAUUUACAGAUAAUACAAGAUGUUGACAAUGAUGAGUUUGCAAACCUUUCUAGCAACAUCCAUCCCACUGAGGUCAUCGCGUGGAUCUGCAAAAAUGGAAAAGUAGUCCUAAAAUCUCAAAGUGCAUUUUGCUACACAAGAAGGGGGGAAAAAAGGGAAAAAGAGCACUUUGUCCCUAUUAGGAUUUGUUUUAAAUUCUAAUGGGUCUCACUGUAAUCCAUGUCAAACCCCUAUUUGUGCAAGGAAAAAGAAAUUCAAUACCAAAGAAAGAGCAGCUAUCCUACAACCCCAAAACUUUAUUACUGAUUGAAAAGGAAACACCCAAGUCAUCAAAGCACUCUAUGCCACAAUGACCUAACCGUACUAGAUCAGCGGCUUAUGAUUAUUCAGUAAAGGUACAUUGCUGUCAAGUAACAAACGGAACUUGCGAUCAGCAACGUGAUGCAGUCAUAUAAGGUGUCUGAAGACAUGGGAUAAAAUCUUGCAUAAUUAAACUUCGCAUUAAAACAAGAGGAAAGAAAUGUGAAGGUGAGAAAUCAAGCAAAACAAUAAUGCAGAUAAACAAUUUAAUGCUACAAAGAUGCAGAGUGGCAUCAUAGACUUUCACAGAAUAAUAUUACAUAUUUCUAUUAAGUUUUAAAUUCACCCAUCAAUAAAAACUCUACCAACAUUUGAAACAGUAAUUCUAAUGAGUAGAUUAGCAACAAUAAUAUAAGACCUGGUUCUGUAAAUCCAAGAGAUUUAGCUGCUUUAACAACUUGGCUGAAUGGCUUUCCAUCCUCUAAUUCGCUCAUGACAUAACCAAGUGUACCUAUGACCAUUGAUCAGCGAAGCAAAUAUUAGAAAUCAACUAGUGAAAGUCUUUGUUGCAACUGUAGUUUCUACAUUACAUACCACUCAAACUCCCCAUAAUACGACUAAUGGGGUCUCCUGAUGCAAUAAUACGGGUUACAGAAGCUAUUACUGGAAGACCGGCUCCGACCUGGAAGAGAAAGGAUUUUAAUGUAAGAAACUUUGCAGAAUAGACAUUCAUUGAUGGAAUACUAUAUCAUCAGAAAGAAAAGACAACAAUAACUGAAGUGUUAAAAAGGAAAAAGAUAACUAAACGCUAAUCAUGGAGGUAAAACUCUCUUUCCCAUUAAUUUGAAAUUGCAAAUUUAUUACUUGUCAAAUUGUAAAUUUCUCAUAUCAUACAAAACCACAGCAUUCUAAGCAGCGGAUGUAGGUAUACUCAUUAAGGAAAGGUUAAAUUCGCUGAAAUUAGCAAUCACUCAAAAUAAGGCAUCAACCAGAAAUCAAUUAAGAGACCUCCGUAACCAAGAAAUAAGAUCUAUUGACAAAUUCUACCCUUUGUCGAAGUUUUGUCAUUCUAUUUCAUCUUAAAAUUUUGGCUUGAAAUACAGGAGCCACGGCUACUGCCUGACUUGGAAUUAACCAAAAAUCACAAUGUUUGAUACUCAAACAACAAGAUAAAAGAUAUAAGAGAGAAGAGACGAAAAACGACUAACAUUUGCAUAACUUCCUAGGAAACCAUGUUAAAAUUAUGACUUAUCAUAAGGAAAUGAACAACAUUGCUGAACAAUAUGUACAUACAGUUGAUUCGAACCGAAUGCGCCGGAAAUGAAAGACUAGCUUUUCAAAAUCUUCCUGUAUGGCAAAAAAUCAGCUCUUAGGAACAUCACCAGCAGCAUAUAAGGUGAUAAGGUAUGCAUUCCGAUUAUAAGUUUACAAGAAAUAUUCUUGCACGCGAUAUAUAAUAAUAAGAGGUUAUAAAAGAGUUGAGUUAGAGACAGCAUUACAAUUGCACAUGUAAGUGGCUUCUUGUUCGCUAGUACAACACAACAACCAAGACUCAUAACCUCUUUUAGUGUAUCAACGAUCUCUGAACUGGCAGAACAAUCAACUACUGCCAAACCUGUUAGAGGAAGAAAGAGAGGGGUGAGACAUUGUUAGCAAAUGCAAAACACUUAAAAAUGCUGAUAUUUGAAAAUAUCAGCAGACUCAACUAUCAUCUCCAUAAUCAAUCACAUAUGUUUAAAGCUUAGCUAGCAGCCCAUUCCUGAUUUCGGCAGCCAUAAAAAUGAUAGGAGUUUGGAUUCUCUACAAACCCGUGGAUGUGCUGAGAAGGCGAGCAACAUCAAUGAUCUUUCCCUUGGCUUCAGAAUCCGUAAAUAGUUGGCACCCUCCUGGAAUCAAGUUAACAAACUCCUGUGAGGGUUAAAAUCAUAUACCAACAAUACAAUAUCCUUUUAACCGAUUUCCAGCAUUAAAUUUUCAUCUGAUUACAAAACCAAGUAAUAAUUAUUGAAGAAGAAAAGCCGCACAGAAAAGCUAAACUGCAGUCAGGUUCAGAAACUUCAUGGUAACCACGAUACUUAUACAGUCUGAUAUAUUUCUAGCAUUUUUCAGAGCGGUCAUUUUUAUUAGGAUUUCCUAAGAGCAAGGAUUCAUAUAGAAUUAGAAUUGUUGGCUAACUAAUAUAAUAGUCUAUCCCUCAAAUGCCUGCCUCAGUGCUCUGUUCUACUGUUAUAUGCAUGUUCUGUCCUAUAGACGCAAUCGAUCCUCAUUGUGAUUGCAACUCUGCUAAACUAGCUUCAUUUAUUCAGAAUUCUGACGCCUCAAGAAACAGGCAAAGAAAAUGUCAUUCCAGACAUUAGCUAAUCAUUUUCAUUGCACAAAAACUACUUUGACUUAGAGGCUUUGCUUGGGCCUCAGAACAAGUUAUACAAUGAUAGCUAUGCAUUAUCAAGAUUAUCCGGUUCCUUAGAAUGUCUUGGCAUCUAUGAUUAGGUAGAAUAGAUUCAAGACAACUUAUCUUAUCCCGAGAAGAUGACUUCACUCGCGAAUAUGCUAUGCAUACUACAAGUUUAUUCAAUAAAAAAAAUGUCAUAUAUAAAUACAAGGGAAAUACAAACAGGCCUAAGGAUUUAAAAGAUGAUACAUUUAACGGCAACCUUCAAUUUGCUCCCCAUGUCUUUUAGUGCAUUUUCACUUUGUCAUCAUGUGCUUCAAAAAGCUGCACUUAGUUAUCCUGUGUUUUUUAUUUUUGUUUCACCAAAAAAACUUACCGUCAAUAGAUAGUAAAGUAAUUUUUUAAAAAAAAGCAUACAAAGCAUACAGUGGUACCCUCUUUAAUGAUAGGUCUUUACAGUGAAGCAAAAACAAAACCAAGGGAUAGUUUAGUGCAACUUUUUGACUCACAAGCAGCAAAGUGAAAAUGCAAUAAACCACAGUGAAAAUGGCCCUGUUUGGAUGGAUGAAUAUCUUAUUCAUCAGCAUAUAUCCCUUCAAUUUACUCAAGAAGCAUGCAGUAUUUAGUAGAUGAGCUGGAUCAAAUAUAUAGAAUGGAUAAGAUAUUCGGCCUUCAAGUCAUUUUUUUCGAAAUAAGAAAAGAGGUAAAUUGCACAUUUGGUCCUCAAACUAUGAGGCGGGUGACAUUUUAGUCCGCAAACUUUAAUUAGUUGCGAUUUCUGGUUUGAACUUUCAGAUUGUUGCAAUCAAGUCCCCAACCUAAUUUAGUUGAUUAAAUAUUGACACAUCGUAGAUGUAAAAGUAAAGUAGCAUCUUAAUUAUUAAAGGUUCAUAUCAAUCACAACACUGCUAUAUCAUUUCUACGCUAGCGAUAUAUCAAUAUUUAGUCAACUAAAUUAGAUUUUAGGACUUGAUUGCAACAAUUCUAAAAGUUCGAGUUAGAAAUUAAAACAAAUUAAAGUUUGAGAAUCAAAAUGUCACCCACCUCAUAGUGUGAGGACCAAAAUGUGCAAUAUAUCCUAAGAUAAGUUCACCUUGCAGGUGAAAUACACUAUCUUACUAAACCAUAGAUGUCAAAACCUUUCAAAGAGCAAACAUCAAGCUCCUAGCUUCCGAUCACACAAGAAAAUCUUCACACCAAAUAUAUUAUCAUUGGAUAUCUUAUUUCGGCAUCCAACAACAUCCAAACAGCGGCCUUAAUAGAACAAACACCUACCUAGACGAACAAGGGAGGAGAGAGGCGAUCCGGAGGACUUUGAGCGGCACAGCUCGGCCAAGAAGGCGUCGUCCAUGGACGCCGUCGCCGCCGCCGCCGCCGCCGCGGCGUCGCUCACGGCCAGCAGGGAGCGGCUAUCGGCGACGCCGACGACUCGCAGGACCAAACCCUAGGACGGUGGAGAAUGGGAUGAUGAUCACAGUGGAAUGGAAAAGGGGGAGGGGAAGUGGGGUUGUAGCGCCAUUACCAUUUGGGAGUGGAGUGAUCGGCACGAGAGGAUGUGGCGGAGGAGGUGGCGGCCGACGCCGCCGCAGCCCAGGAGGAGGAUCGGAAUGCUCUUCGUCUCCACCAUCCUCUCCCCCACUCUCUCUCUCUCUCUCUCUCUCUCUCUCUAUCCUCCGUCGAGGAUGAAACCGUGGCUUAGGGUUCUAAGAAAGAAAUUAUUUGGAAUUGUUUGUUUAAUGGAUUUUGAUUUAUGAAUAGUUGAGUACUUAGACGGUAAAACACUUCUUAAAUCUUAACCACCAAAGGAAUAAAAGAACUCCAAUUUGAACCACGAAAAUAAUUAUAGUUUCUUUAUACAGCUCAAGUCGUAAGAUGCACCAAUAAGUUCCAACUCAAAAAGUCACAAAAGCACUUCUGCAGAAGCUCUAGAAAAGAAGCAGGUUUCCAAACCCUGAGCUAACCAAGUGGGCAAAAAAUUUCUAAUCAAAUAAGCCCAAUCAUAACAGAAAAGACAGCUUCCUCCUCUCUCAAUGCAUUCAACAACAAUAGUUAGAAUUCAAGUGGAAUCAUAAUCUGUAGUCUCAAAUCACAGAUAACACAUACACAGGGAAAAAUAGAUUGGAUGCAAAAUCUCUUUUACUCGGUGAUUUCUCCUUCCUCUGAGUCCUCUAACUGCUCAGUAUCAUCACUAACACUAUCACUCUCAUCCUCACCUGAACUACUCUCAGCUUCAUCAACUACAUUCGAAUCUUUUAAAUUCUCCUUACCCGCAAAAUCACAGUACAUGUCAGUAUCAUUGGUACUAUAAUCACCACCUUCAUUUUGUUCUACAACUACAUGCAAGUCUUUUUGAUCAUCGGUUUUGCGAAAAUUAGAAACACCCAUAUCGUUCGGAGAUGGGUUUGCUCCUAAAACGGCUGUACUUGCGUAUAUAGUAUCUUGUACUGUGAUGGAUGGAAACUCCAAUGGCUUCUCGGGCCAGCUCUCGAAGAAGGAAUUCAGAAGCACGAAUCUGAAUGCUUGCAAAAGCCGGCUUUUGUCUCCUUUGAUUUCGGUGUUUAGAAGCUUCCGCAAAAGGGUUGGUUCUCUCGCAACUGGAGCUGGUGUUGUAGGUUCUUUCUUUAGUUUCGGCUUUUUACCGCGCCUAUCUCGUUGAUUAUAUUUGCCCCUCUUGUUAUUGUAUCUGUUCAAGCUUCCAUCGGACCUAUUCAGAGUUUUCCUCUCGUUCGGUUUUCCAUUGAGCUGACCCUCAGGUUCGGAAAGAUAUCCAGGUGGAAUCUCAGGAGCUUCGAAGCCCAAUUCCGCCUGCUUGACUAAAACUUCUUUGAGUUGCUGUAAACAAUUACAGCGAGUCACUUAAAAAGAAUAGUAAUGGAAGAUGACUCGAGAAAUUACAGUGCUUUUAAGGGGCUUUUGCAUACAUGUCCAUGCAAAAAUUAUAUAUUUACAUAUAUAACUCCAAAACAAAAUCUUAAUAUUCACAUACGGCCUCCCUGCUCUAUAUACCUAUAGAACUAGACUACUAUACCAUCGGUAGCACGGAGGGCUCCGUGCUACCAAGUUGUUUUCGAUGAUGCGGCUUCCAAAUCGACGAUCGGCUCCGUUAGACUUGAUCUACACUAUUAAAAGUAUUUAGAAACUAAAUUUCAUAAUUUUUCGAUAUCAUUUACCUAUCAAACAAGUAGUCUAAAAUUGAACGGUUGAAAAUAAAAAUCUCAUAAAAAAUGAUGAUAAAAGAUUUAAAUUCAAGAUCAGAUAUACUGAUCUUACUCUAAAUAGUGAAAAGAAUUUUCUAUAAAAUUUUCAUCGCAUUUGGAUUGUUUGUCACCGUUAAACUCACAAACACACCACAUCGGCCAUUAAAAUUGUCAAUUUUGAGAUCUUUUGAUCACUGGUCAAAUGAUGUCCAAAAAAUCUGAAAUUUAGUUUUCCAAAUACUUUCAAUAGUGUAGAUCAAGUCUAACGGAGCCGAUCGUCGAUUUGGAAGCGGCAUCAUCGAAAACAACUUAGUAGCACAGAGCCCUCCGUGCUACCAAUAGUAUAGUAGCCAGACUCAAUAUAUAUAUAUAUAUAUCUUGAGAUGGGAAAAUCAUCCAAAUCAAGGAGAGAAGUGGAUUUACUAUCACAAAAAAAAUAUAUAUAUAUAUAUAAAAGAUUAAAAAAAUAAAAAUGGGUGCCUAUGUAAAUACAAGGUGUAUUUUUUUAAGAAAGUUUCAGGACACAAAAAAAUUUGGAUCCCACACAAAUGUAUGUGUAAAUAAAUAAUUCCACAUGCUAUGAAUACACACACACACACACGAGAAAAACCAAACCAAUCGGUUUACCUGACGACAUAAUUUGGUAUUCUCUUCGGCAUCCUCACCAUUUGUCCCAUUCAAAGCCAACUUCUGCAUCAUGAAGUUAUUCAGAAAUUAUUGAAUGGGCCACAAAUAUAUUACAAGAACUGAUGAUUGACCUUUUUCUCAAUGUUGGCACAAGUCGGAAAGUUCUUCUUGCGUGCUUCAAUCCACUGUUUGAUUUCAUGUUCGCUAUAGAUAAUAGGAACAAACCUUCAAGAAGACAGAGAUGUUAAUACUUCAGAUAACUGCACUAGCAUGCAAGGUUCACGCGCUAAUAUUAAACUAAACGAACUUGCUGCAUAAUUUCAUGUGUAAUGUAAAUGAUUUAUAAUUUACUAGCUCCCAGAAAAUAACUGAGAAACAUUAUCCUCGGACAGCCAAUUCAAUAAAUGUUGACAUUUGCUUCUUCCUCUUUUUUCUUUUUGUUCCCAAAACUGAAAAGAGAAAAUUGAAUUUAUCAUAAGAAAACAGCUCGUUUACUACUAAAGCACUGGAUGGGUGCGGUCCAUAACACUGUCUUUUUGGAUUCUUCAGCUAUGAUAGAUCACCUUGUAGGUCAAAUAAAUUAUUCUGAAAAAAGAAAGAUCAUGAAGACAUUGCAGUUGGACAAAGUUAAACUCAUAGGUAACAAUCACAAAAGAUAAUGUCCAUGCCGCACUAGUUAUCACUAAAUGGUCCAACAACUAUGGCUCUACUUACUGCAUAAGGCCCAAAACAGUACUCAUGAAAACAAUGCCACCAACUGCUAGCAUAAGUAUAAAAGCAGAUAUGAACUCAGAGAUUUGUCACACAACAUAUAAUAUCAAGCAGAUGGUUCAUUAUACAGAGGGCGGGCGCUCGAUGAAAAUUCAUAAAGGAAAAGUGGACUAUUAAGAUCCGGAAAGAUUUUAUUGCUAUUUAGCUAGAUAUAUAACUAGUUUGAUCUAUGAAGAUCGGUGGGUCGAAUAUCCUUAAUAUUGUGAAUAAAUUCAAGUCACUCUUAGAACCAAAGCACGAUGAUGACUCUUUCCCUUGUUGAAUCAACAUGCAUGUUUAGGGCCUUUUUCCAUCAAAUGCAAUAAAUCAAUACCUUCGUCGCUCUGUAGAAGCUGAACUGCCGCCACUUGGAAAGUUAGAUUUUCCUUCUCUCCCAUUGUUAUGACCUGAUUAAAGUCAUAUGAAACAAUAGAAAGCCAAAAAUUAAUAUCCAUUAUGUCAAAUAGAGAAUGAGUAACAUCUACAACUGAUUCAGUCAGAUCAUUCAGCUAAUCAACAAUAAUAAACAAUAUGCUGGAUUUCCCUUUCUAUAUUACAUUUAAGCGAAGAGCUAGAAACAAAAUAAAAGACAAAAUAACCACAACGUUAAGAAAACAAAAGCCAAUGCAUAUUUGCAUUUAGCUAGAAACAAAUAUAACAUUAGUUCAACAGAUGUGCUUCUCAAAUGUCUUAGACAACAAUAAACAAUAGAAAUGUGACAUUUAAAAACCAUAACAUUCUUGAAAACUGAAGAAUAAAACAUUCUAUGUCUUCUGAUCUUGUCAGUUGAGGUUACAAUAUGGAAAUUUCUGUUAAUUGUGGUUGAAAAUAAGGGCAUGCUCGAUGCACAUGUAUUAAUAUUCCCAGACAAUAACUGUUUGCUAUUGUCCUUUUAUCAAUACAAUAAGAAGAGCUUUAUUUGUAUGUAUUUGUCAAAACAAAAAGGGAGGCAACAACUACAGGCAAACAAACACAUAGAGAGUGGUCAAAAUCACUAAAACUUAUCUUCUAACUAAAUUACACUUUAACCAUACUAAACAGGCUCUAAAUGAAGUGUAUCAUGUCUGCAGGAACUAGAUAUUUGACAAAUAGAUACAAAAACUAAGAUUGCUUAACAAUUUCAUUAACCGCCUUUUAUUCAAUAAAAAGGAACUCAAACGAGAUAUAGACUAAAUUUCUAGUCAUCCAGUUGGUAGUACUUAAUCUCUACACUGAGAUUAUACGACAUCUGAGUUUAGAAAGGGCCAAAUUUAUAAUUGCAUAGAAAGAUACAGCAUAUUGUUCAUGCACUAUGUGAAACAAACAACUGUUUUUGCUAUACUAUGUGGGUAAUUAUAGUCCGCUAUUUAUGCUCAAAAACAUUACUAAUAUUUGUCAAAUCAGCAUCUUUGUUGACUACCGUAACCACAAGCCCAACAGCUCAGUCAUUUCAUAUUAAGCAAGCAAUAAAGGUAGAAUGGACAACUUUGAUCAAUGCACUCUAUCAAGGUUGUAAAUAGCAAAUAACGAAUAUAUAGCAUUUCGAGUGCCUCAUAGCGGAAAGCAGAUAGCAGGCGCCAUAGUGGGCACUAACAACCCAUAGCGAAUUUCACAAAAAGUUACUUAAUAUGCCUAUAUUUCUUAUAGAAAAUACUAAUGAUUUUGAAGGAAAAAACAACCAAUCAUUAUCUUUUUCUAGUUUUGCAAGCCUAUACAUAUUUAAUAUCAAUAUCUAGAAGGCUAACUUCAAAAUAUUAUGAUUUAGCAAACCAAAAAGGCAAAAAGCUAGAAAAUCUAUAGUCCAUUUACAAGUUUUUAAUCAUCUAUUUACCUUCAAAACCUGAUCAGAUAAGACAUUUUAACCAGUUUGCAAUUUUCAAGCUUUUGAGCCCAUAGCACCUGCUUCAACACCGCCUAAUAGCGCCUGCUCAGGUGUUGCUUUAUACCCACUCCACUAAAUCCCGCUCUAAACGUUAUGUCGUAGCGGUAGCGUAGCGGCCACUAUUUAAAACACUGCAUGCUAUUUUUUUUCUAUCAAUUUAGGCUUUUUACACAAUAUUACAGGAGCACGCAUCCAAGAACUCCAAUAAGAAUAUAGAAAGGUUAUAGGUGAUCAUGAACUGAAACUCUCAAGUAUUACCCUCUAAUUUCAAUGUGUAUUCAAAUAAAUUAUAUAUUCAAAAAGAUGACCUCUUCCACCAGUUCUAUUAUAUGGCUUUGCGUUCCACUUCCCAUUGGUCGCAUGAUGAAAUUGAGGUUUUUGAGUCCUGCAAAUAUAAACUUGAACUUCAAGGUCGUGGUCGCAAAGUGAAAUAAAGUAAAAGCCUAAAAGCGUGAAAGAUGAGCAAGAGAUAAACAUGCCUAACAUUUGAUAUCCCUCCUAUUUCAUGUCCUUUUGGAUUUGUUCUGAAGUUUUUUCUUGUAGAAUAUUCAUUUCUUAAAUUUGAGACUCCAGAACCAUUAGCUUCACCACAGUUGACCUGUAAUUGGAAUCCAAAAAAAAUUAAGAGCUGAAUGAAAAGAGAGAGAGAUAGAGAGAUUACUUCUAGGACAUUUGCUAGCAUAGCCUAGUAGGCUUGUACGGAACAGAUAAUUAAAAACAAUCUUUUGUGGUUUGGUUCCACAAUGUUGGUUUGGGUACAAGCUUAGGAGUGAGCACUAGAGCCAGUCAGCAUGCUAAUCGAAGUUAGCCAAUUACUAGUAUUUUUAAAAACUCAAAAGAGUUCAAAAUCUUCCAAAAUUAAUUUCCCUUUCACAAUACAAUGAAAACAAAAUUAGCAGAUGAAGCCAAAGCAUACCUCUCAAAUUUUCCACCUGCUUUGCCACCAUAAAAAUUCUCUCUCACCACUUAAAAAGAGUUCUUAGUCAAGUUUGAGAUCAACUUCCAGUAAGCUUGAGUGUUGAGUCAUAAUAAUAGUUAAUAUUGUUGGAAGUAAUUCUAUGGAUUAUUUCCCUACUGAAUAUUAGAAGCACGGUCAUCCAAGCGAAGGGAGUAGACAAGUUUCACUGCCUAAACUCGUAACUUUACAAAUCACUGCUGCAUAGGCUUACAAAACUUUUAUAAUGGUGGUCACAUUCCAUAUUAUUGCAAAAACAGCAAAAAAACUGAUUGCACGAUGCUAAAAUUUAAGUGUGUACGAUAGCGACUGUUUAUUUGUAUGGACUAGCAUAUCAAAGGAAGAAACUUGUUGAGAUACUUAAAAUAAGAACCAUAGUAUUUACCAUAGAACAGAUCAAUACCAUAGUGCAUAGUUGAAUAAAAAAUUAUGAUACGUAACAUCAAAAUCAUAAAAUGUGACAAAACAAAACGUCUACUUCACCACGAAGCACCCAAAAGAUCCCUUGCAAUGUAAACUGUCAUAUCUACUCAAAAAAGAAACCUCUGCAUUUCCAACACAAAAAAUAUACAUAUAUGAUAAUCCCUAUGCAAACAACCGUGGUAUGAAACAUGUAUAAAUGAGACGAGAAUAUGAACAUAGCUGAUUAAAAACAAAUAAAAUGCACCUACCAUAUUAUUACCAUCACUUUGCGAUAGGCUGCGGGAGAAAGGCGGUCGAAAUUUCGUCGCAGCCAUAGGUGUUCCGUGUUUAACACCCUGACCCAUCGCAUGGCAGUUCACACCGUUAGACGCUGCAUUACGAAAGUUCGCAUUCGAACUGGACAUAGCCAUAUUGGGGUUGCUGCCGAACCCAGAGUUUGGAGCAAUUCCACGAAAGUUGUGAUUUCUACUACCCAUCUCAUGAUUGGAAGCUAACUGCCCAUUAUUCACCUCAUGAUUCACAGCGUCGACACAUGCCACCGCAUCCCCAAAAUUGGGACUCAUACCAUUAGAAUUACCAAAAGAGCCCGAAUUCGGGGCGGUUGUGCCACUAAAAAGCACCGGGAUGUUCACACCCAACUGCCCGUUCGCACCGGCCGCGAAUUGGUUCAUGCUCUGAGCAAGAUUAUUCGCCAAAAAUUGGCCGCCCAACUGCACCGACGAGAGAAAGUUUAGAUUUUGCAACUGAUUCUGAAACUGCGGCAAGCUCUGCUGCAAACCAGCAGCUUGCCCCAGAAGCUGCAGAGCCAUGACUUGGUUCAACCCAAAGCUCCCAUUUGGGGGGAGAACACCAAUACCCAUCUGAUUAUUCUGCGCCAUCGGCGGCAUGUUAGGGCUAUUCUGAAAGAUUUGCUGCUGAUUGGGCAUGCCCAUGGCGUUCCCACCCAAAUUGCUCAGAUGGGCGUUUGGGUUACUCAAAUUCCCCAUCAUUGGAGCUGGGAAUUGGGGGUUUGGGCUAUUGGGCAAGUGCGGAAUCAUCAUCCCCUGCUUCCACAACAACAACAACAACAACAACAACAACAAAAACAACAGCAACAAAGAUCACAACUUUGCAACACAGAAGAGGAUCUGAUCCAAAACUAGAGGGGAAAUAGAGAGAAAUUGACCUGUUGGAGAGGUGGGUCGUUGCCGCCAUGGUUGGGGAGCGAGGGGAAAAAGGGGAGCAUCUCUACUACGCGAUGGUGUUGGGGGAGAAGAGGAGGAUGCUCGGAGUAGGGUUUAAGCGAACGAGAUUUUUAUUUAUUUAUUUAUUUAUUUAUUUAUUUAUUUUGGGUUAAUUGCAUAUGUAUACCUACAAAGUGAAAAAAUUGCGUAUUAAUUAAAACCGAUAAAUAUCUUUUUUUUUUCUAUUUUUUUUGUUUUGACUUUCAAAAAUUUAUAUUUUUACCUUUUAAAAUUUUAAAAAUAUUUUCAAAGAAUCACGGCAUUAAAGGACAAGGUGAAAUGACCAAAUUACCCUGUUAAAUGUUUCAUAAAAUUUUGCAUAUUAAUUUCUAUACUGUUUUAGUUAUUAGCUUAAAAUACAAAAAAUCCUUCUAUGAAUACCUAUUUUUUUAUUUUUUCUUCCUGACUUUUAAAAAUUAAUAUUUUGGACCUCUAAGAUUUUAGAAAUAUUUUCAAAGAAUCGCGGCGUUAACGGAGAGGGUAAAAUGAUAAAAUUUUUUCUUUUACUUGUUGAUAAAAAAAAAUAAUAUUUUAAUAUAUUUCUAUUAUAUUGAAAAGCUUUUUUCAUAUAAAUUAUAAGAAAUAGAUAAGAUAACGACGAAACCUACCGGCGGUAAAUUAAAUGUAUCAACUUAAAAUUUUGAUAGGAUAAAAAUAUAAAUUUAUAUCAUUUGAAUCCUUACGAAACAUAAUUGAAGAAGAAGAAUAGAGUUUAAGCGAGCGAUUGAAUUUUAUUUUGUUUAAAAUGUAAAGACAAGUCCUAAACUUUAGCCUGUUUUGAAAUUGACUCCUAAACUUUUUUCUACAAGUCAUUUGAUUUACACUUUCUCUGCUUACUGAAAGUUUAAUUUAAAUCACCUCCUUAGCAAUUUUAGAAUUUAUUAUUUUAUUUGAAUUUUCUCUUGAUAAGCCGGUAAAUGAGUAUAAUUUUAAAGGAACAAAGGGUCGUUGACUUUGUAUGAUGAACUUUUUGUUUAAAUUUUAAGUUAAUUUUAUAUAGCUCCCCGUAAGAAUAUCGAAUAACAAAUAUAUCCCUAUAAUGUUUAACUUUUUAUAUUUGUUCCUGCAAAAGUCCUAAUAUUUUCAGAUAUAGUCUUGCUGUUAGAAUCCGUUAAAAAAACAUAAUUAACCAUAGGUAAAAUAUCUAACCAUGGUUAGUGAAUAAGAUAAAUUGACUUUUUUAUCUUUUUUAUAUUAUUUGUGAUCAUAGAAAGAAAAAAUAUGUCCGUUGAAAAUUUUUGGGAGGACAUUUCUGUAUAAUUCUAAUAGUUAAAGCUUUUGGAGGGAUAUAUUUGUGAUGGUAAAAAUGUCAUUUACUUAACUUCUGUUAAAAAAUAAACAGUGCUAUAAUAGUAACAAACCAGAAGAGCAAAUAUGAAUAUCAUUAUACUUUUGCGAGAAUAAAUAUGAAAAAUUAAACUCUGUAGGAAUAUAUUUGCUAUUCGAUAUGCUUACAGGGAGCUGUAUAAAGUUAACCCAAAUUUUAAUAUAUUUUAAUAUUAUUCAGUUAUCUAACUUGUAGUUUACUAUUUUAUCAGCUUUGUUUUUGCUUUGUUUUUAUUUAGAGUAAACUUCAAAUACCACCCUUGUGGUUUCGCAUUUUCUCACUUUCGUACCCUAUGGUUUAAAGUGUAUCAAGUUAGUGUCCUGUGGUUUUAUUUUUAUCUUUUUAUCAGCUUUUCCGUUAAUAUUUUAUUAAAUUAUAUAUAAAAAAUUUCAGAUACCCCACCUAGGUUUAUUGAAUAUUCACUUUAGUAACAUUUAGUUUUAACUUCGUCACUAAUUUAACGAAAAAAAUUACUGAAAUCGAUAAUAAAAAAAUAAAAAUAAAACUACAUGACACUAAAUUGAUACACUUCAAACUAUAUGGUACUAAAGUGAGACAGUAUGAAAUCACAGGGGUAGUAUUUGAAAAUUUUCCUUUUAUUUAUUAUAAUUAAAGGAUGCUGAUCAAUGUGAAGCUGCAAAUGUGCUUUUCUUGAUUUUGCAUUUUAUUAGCUUUUAGAUUUUAAUAGAAUUUCAAAAAUUACCAAGAAGAAAAGCUUAAAUGAGACUUUGAGUAAGUAUAGAUGUGUAAACCAAGUAAAAAAAAAGGGGUUAAUUUCAUAUAAGUCCCUGUAAAUAUAAUAAAUUUCAAAUAUAUUUAUAUAAAGUUCAAUUUUUAUAUGUUAUCUCUACAAAAAUCCCAAUAUUUUCAAAAUAUGUCCUAUGGUUUGUUACUGUUAAAGUACUAUUCAUUUUAUAAGUGAAAUGUCAUUUGUAUCAUCACAAAUAUAUCCCUCCAAAAAUACCACUUGUUUUAAUUGAAGAGGAAUAAAAAUAUCAAUUCAUCUCAUUAACUAAUUAGGGUUAAGUAUUUUACCUAUGGUUAACUAAUUUUUUCUAACGGAUUCUAACGGCAGGGACAUACUUGAAAAUAUCAGAACUGUUGCAGGGAUAACAUAUGAAAGUUAAACUUUAUAAGAAUAUAUUUAUAAUUCACUAUAUUUGGACGGACAUGUAUGAAAUUAAUCCAAAAAAAAUUCAUGUCUCAAUUUGAAAUAAGCUAAAGUUCGGGGAGUAAGAUACAUUUUAACUUUGUUAUUUCUUUUGGUAGUGCACUAAUGCUACAUUUACAACCAACUUUUUGUCUAUCGGUUAUUUUUUAAAUUACUAAAAUUCGAAAGGCCUUGAAUAAACUUAGGGCGCGUUUGGUUCGAAGUCGGAAUCGAAAUUGGAAUCGGAAUCAAAAUAAGCUGGAAUCGGAAUCGGAAUGACUCAUUACCUAAUUCUGUUUGGUUCAUCACCUGAAUCGGAAUCGGAAUAAAUCAUUCCCAUUGUCGGUGUUUGGUUCAGGUGGAUAUAAAAAACGUAAUCAAAUUAAUAUACUAACAUUAUCUUUAUAAUAUAUUAAUUUAAAUUCAAAUUAAAAAUUAAAUAUUAAAAAUUUACAUCAAAAUUUUGAAAUAAUGUCAAAAUUUUAAAUCUAUUUUUUUUAAAAAAAAUUAAACUUUGAAGUUGAGUGGAUAAUUUAAAAUAUGAAACUAAAUUUUGAUUUAUUCAAAUUCAAAUUUAAAAUUACAAUUUAAAUUUUAAUUUGAAUACAUAAAUUUAAUUUAAGUUUGAAAUAAAAUUUGAAUAACAUUUUAUAUAAAUUAAAAUUUAAUUUAAAUUCAAAUUCAUAAGUUAGAUUCAAAAUACUUGAUUAAAUUUUAAUUUUUAAUUUAAGUUUAAAUUAAAAUUUAAAAUUAUAUAUUUAAUUUUAAAAUUUUAACUCAUAUUUUAAUUAAAAAAGUUAAAAAAUAAAUUUAAUCCGAAUAAAUAUCCAUUCCGUCCGGAUUCACCUUUCAAUCCGGCCUCCUAGGCCGGAUUGAAAAAAGAGAUGAUUGGAAGAUUCCCAUUCCACUCGGGAAUCGGAAUCGAAAUGGAACAACCGCGUACCAAACACCCACAAACGAAUUUAUCCAUUCCGAUUCCGAUUCCAGGGUGAAAAAGAAGCGAACCAAACACGCCCUUAGUAUGGAGAGUUUUAUUAUAGAUUAUAGCCAACAAGGGUUAUAGAUUUAGACCCCCAUUGGUGCUAUUACCAUUUUUUUCAAAUUUUUUUUUAACAUUAAUUAUAAAAAAAAUUAUAUACUUAAGGAGAACCUGUUCUUUUUUGUUAUAAUAUUGUUAUAUGCAUCUUAGUCAGGUGAUAGAUAAUAAUUUAUUUAAAAUAAUUUACAAUGAAAAAAUUAUUUUUCAGUUUUUAUUUUUUGUUAUCAAGUAAACUGUUUCGAUGAAAAAAUUGCAAACAAUCAACUAUUCACUUCUACCCAUUUGAUAUACAAAAUUUUAAAAAAAAAAUAAAAUAAAACACGAUACCAAACAAAGCCUUAGGAUUUCUUUUUUAGAAAAACUUCAAAUAUCAUCUCUGUGGUUUCACACUUUCUCACUUUAGUAUACUGUAGUUUAAAAUAUAUCAAUUUAAUAUCCUGUAGAUUCAUUUUUAUUUUUUUAUUAUCGAUUCUAUUAUUUUUUUUCGUUCAAUCAAUAGCUUUAAAAAUUGAGAAAAAAAUAAAAAUAAAAUCACAGGACACUAACUUGAAACACUUUAAACCACAAGGUACUAAAGUGAGAAAGUGCAAAACCACAUAGGUAGUAUUUGAAGUUUACCCUUCUUUUUUUUCUUAGAAAAUUCUAAUAGACAACGUUGUUUCUUAGAAAAUUCUAGAAGACAAUGUUGUCGCAGGCUCGCAGCCAAAUAUUUUCUUUACCUCCAAGAGCAUAAUUUAGCUUCCAAAUAGCACAAAUAAUCAGUAACCAGCUAUUUUUCUUCUCUUCCAACCUUUCACAAACAAAACAUAAAAAGGAGAGAGAGAGAGAGAUAGAGAGAGAGAAGAUCAUAUGACUUUUAUACCCUUGAAACUAUUGUUUUGGCAUUACAACAUUGCAUCCACUCAUCACGGCAACCAGAAGAACACUCUCAGAACAAAUAUGGCCCCAAAAAAUGGGAAAAGAAAAAGCUCAAAUGAGACCACAAACAUACACCUAAUUCAAUCAAAAUCUCGCGAAGCGAUGCAAUGACAUAGCGUGAAGCGACGCAAUGACAUAGCGUGCUCAAAACAACCUCCAAUGCUCUUCAUAGUUCCAUCCAGCAAAAGAUGGGUUGAGGUGAAUUACAUACAAAGCAGAUACCUCCGAAGCCGUAAGCCAAAACAUUCUUUCUUCUACUUAAGAGAAAAUGGAGAGAGAGAGAGAGAGAGAGGGCUUAUUAAGUAAAAGCUCAUUUAGAUUGGAGGAAGUGUCAUUAUCACCAAGAAGGGGAGAUUUAAAAGUUUAAAUUGGUUGAAGAAGACUAGAUGAAUGUGGAAAGCUCCUAUACAUGUAGAUAUAUUAGCUGCUUCAGUAAAGAGUAUCAAAGAAUGUAUCUUAAGGAGUUCCGUUCCUUCCAUUCGAUUCCUUAGAUUGAUUUAAGUACCACUUGUUCAAGCGCUCUUUGGCGAUAACCACCUGCACAAGCCGUUCGCAAAGUCAGCUUCUGUAAAUGUACAGUAGUAAGCGAAACUCACCAACAGUAUUGAGUUUUUUUUUUUCCUUGCAUAGCAGGUGUAGGAGUUGCUUGUACAGAUCUCUGAGUCGAAAAAAGGGGUAAAUGCACUUGCUGAUUCCCAAUUUUUACCGUGGUUUUCACUUUUCAAUCAAGCUUUCCGCUUGAAAAGAUACUUGUUAACUCGAACAAAAAAUCAUCAUGUCAAAACCGAUAGAUGAUCAUCGCGUACCAUGUGCCAGCACCAAUAAAUGCCGAACACAUGGCAGCUCUAGUUAUGGGGUUUCUGACGGAGUGGACUAAAUUCAAUUCAAAUAAUAACUAGCAGUUGUUACAGAGCCCGACUUGCUGGCGAACUAAAGUUAAAAGGGGUAAAGGUUUGGGACCAAUAGUGGAAUUCGGCAUAGAAAUGAGAGAGAGAGAGAGAGAGAGAGAGAGAGAGAGAGAUGUGUGGUACUGCGAAUGAAAAUAUACCUGCUUCUCCCAGUCGGUUCUCAUUGUGAUGAACAAAAGCACAAAAGUUUGGACAAGUGUUCCAAGCAGCAUUCCGAUCCAAAUCCCCUGCAAAGCAAUCAACAGGGAGGGUAAGAAGAAGAAAAAGGAAAAAUUCAGCUCUCACUACCAGGUAAAAGUUGAAAAUGCAACGUAUUUUAUUCCUAUCGGAAUUUCUUGUUAAUUUUUUAUGAAAUGAACUCCGAUAAGAAAUGCAAAUAUAUUUUCUUGGAACAAGGGACAGUAAUAAUGUUACUUAAAAAGAUCGAUCUGACAAGAACAGUCAAGGAAAAUACUUAAUUCGCAUGCUCAUGUGCGUUUGAAAGGAUAGGAAAGGCACGUGGGAUUGACAUGCGAGGUAAGAGACAAAGAUUUAACAGGCUAGAUUUUGGGAAUGCAAUCCAUUAAUAUGCUUGCUGGGGACUGAACACAGGAACUCUCCGAACAAAAAGAGUUUUAGACUUGUCCCCACAACAAGUUUAACGAAAAAGAUCAAUCUAAUAAGAAAUGACACGAAAAUAUAUAUUUAAUAAAUAUUAUUAAAAACAUGUUGGAGGCAAAGUUACAUUUUCAGGUAAUUUUUCUCACCUGAACAUGGAAGUGGAGGCCAUAACCAAGCAUGGUUCCAAGAGGGAUUCCUACUAGGUAGUAGCAUGUUAUGUUUACAUAAGCUACCACACUCUGCCACCCUGCGCCAACAGCAACCCCUGCACAUGUUGAAAUAAAAUGGAAAUUAGACAGCUUUGUUAUUUAUUCUAUCAAUUUUUAACACAACUUGAAAACAAUCUGUUGUGACUUCAACAAGAUUCUCAUAAUCGCUCUCCUUUAGUGGUUAGACUUUCAGAGAGUUAUCAGAGUUUCUGCUAAGGCUGACGGAGAAUUUAAUUAUUAUAUCUAAUUUACUCAGAAAGAAGCGUUUGUUCGAGCAGAGAUAUUCAAGAAAACCUAAUUAGCUCUUCCAUUGAAACCUCUAGCAUCUUAUGCUGAAGCCAGAAGCAGCUUUAGGUCAGAUCUUCCUCUUUUGGAGUCUUUUCUUGAAAUCAUACUAUCUUUUUUAGGGGUCUAAAAGCACUUUUUUCAUAUUUUUUUUAUCAAGCCAGAAGGCUCUACUUUUGCUUGCCAAAUGCCCUGGCUGCUGUUUCUUGCGGAAACAAGCUGUUUUGAGAAUUAACGCCAACUUAGGCUAGGAAAGUAUGUGGCGAAUAUAAAUCUAGUGAUUUUGAAUAACUGGACAAAUACAAUGCCCUAAGUUCUUUAACAAAAUAGAUGCAACACUGCUGUUCCUAAGGGAACACUUGAUGAUGGAGAUGCCAACCUAUAAAUAUCUUUGAGAUUUGUCAACUCUUGGUUUAAGAGGGGAACCUAAAACAUGUUCAUGUUUUUAAUUCAGAACAUGAAUAUUGUUGGUGAAAAAUCCAAAAUUUCAUAAUUACUUCCUUUAUUAUUAUUAUUAUUAUUAUUAAUUUAUUAACUUAUUUAUUAUCAUUUUUUAUUUUAAUUAAUUAAUAUUUUUAUUAUUUUAUUUCCUAUAUGAGUGGAAAUGCCCGCUCAAAGAGCGGACACAUCCAUUUUAAUAGGCGCUCGUUAAGAGCGAUGUGAGUCGAACGUUGUGGAGCAACGUUCAACUCCCACUUCUAUUUAUAAUGCAUGCUGUUUACACAGUAAUGUAUAGGUAGAGAAGAAAAACAAAAAUAAAGGAUUAAAAGAAAAUUUGUUUUAAGUUUAUUUCACCUCCUAUUUUCUUUUACUUCGAUUGUUUUUUUUUUUAACGCCGGAAGUUGAAAUUUCUCCGUCAACCUCUUCCGCGUUCGUGCUCCUAAGAGGAAUUCCGGUCAUACCUUAGAAUAGUGUUCUCCAUAAAUCCCGCACGAAGAACAGGAAUACGCCUUGUUACAGCACUAUACACGCUUCCGGACCAAUCAAAUCAUUUAUCUUGAUUUUAGCAUUUAUUUGUAAGUUUGAUUUUAUCUUUAUCAUAAAAUUAGUCAGAUAAUUAAUCACAAUCAGAUUUUUAGUACUAUUUUCCCCAACAAUAUGAAUACAGUUUGAGAGGCUGCUGUGUUAAAUAAUAUACUAACUGCCUAGAGAACUAAAAAGAAGCAACUUGAUAGUUCAAAAACUUCAUACUAGAACUAACCUGAUAGCACAGGUUGAACACUGUUCAGCAGAAUCGAGAAAGCCAACAAGGGAGAGAGUUCAGCAACUGCUUUGGCCACUGCCGGAUUCUCGGUAAAUAUGUAUGCAAGCCGGCCCCGGAACAACAGGAACAAUACAAAGAGCACAGAUCCAAUAGAAAAUGACGUGAUAACCACGUUGACUAUGGCGAACUUUGCCCGUUUCGCACUCCCAGCUCCAAGUUCAUUCGCCACACGCACCCUAAUGUAAAAGAAGAGAAAGGAAGAAAAACCUUUAACAGAAAACAAAAUAGUAGAAACAGUUGGAGUUGCCCUAAAUGUAUGACCAGACUUCAUGUGUUGUAGUUUCCACUCUCAAAAUAUAUAUAUAUAUAUAUACACACUAAAGGGCAAUAAAAAAAAGAAUAACUUGAUAUAAAAAAUAUCAGAAUAUGGAGCGAAAAGUACCCUGCUGCUGCCAACAAGCCAAUGGAAAUCAUCAUCUCCCACCCGUUGAUGUUAAGGCUACACAAUUGACAGCAAGUUAGUUAUUCUCAAUGAAUUUGCUUAUCAUAGGACAUGAUGAGCUUAGAUGUAAAGAGAUGGAAUGAGUGUGAAAAUACCAGAUGGAAAGAGCAUCAAUUGCAACCUCUGCAUUCUUCAUGUACCCAGUCAGAAGAACCAAUAUGGUAUUGUACCACAGCUCCAAACUGAAGAAGGGAAACAAAGGAAAAACAAAAGCUCUUCAAUUAGUAUCAACCCGAACCUGAUAUAGUAAUUACAAAUGAAAACUAUGACACGCACAAUCCACUUAGCCCAUAGGAUUCGCAACUAGUUUGGCUUGAACAGUAUAGCUCAAUAAGCUUAAGUCUAAGCUACCAAUAAUAAUAUGCUUACUUCUUAUAUGCCCGAGGCAUUAUCUUCACAUCAUUUGAUGUGCGACAAUAGCUGAGUAAGAAUAACUCCUAUUUCUAGAAUAGAUAUGUGAGGAAGCAUUUGAUAACAGAAGGCAGAUACCAGAGCAUGACACCCGAAGAAACAGAGAGCCUGAUAAUUGCCCCGAGAUCCUUGAAAGCAAGACAGGAAAAACCAGUCCAUGUCUCAGGGCACCCGCCGAAGAACACAAAUGCUAGCUGACCUAAUACCGGGAUCCACAUUGCCAAUAUCAUCGAGCUCAUCACUCCCCUUAGACCCAACCCAAGCUUUAUAGUCAACAACCAUGAGAAGAAAAUGUGCACAGCGAGAGUAACAACGGCCAAGUAUGUGAUAAUAAUAUUCUUGCUUUGUGCUUGGAGGUACAUUUGAAGGGUGAAGGCCCACACAUAGGAGAACAUCACAGGGAUGUACCACAGAGAGAUUGUGCCUGCCAUUAUUGCGAUGGAUUCUUCCUGGCCAAGCAGUUUUAGGAGCGGUGUGGUAAGGACAAAGAUGGGGAGAAGUAUUAUGGCACAUGUUAGCAAGAUUAACCAAGAUCGCUGAAGGUAGAUCCCUAGCAUGUGAUAUUGCUUCGCACCGUAUGAUUGCCCGCAUAGAGUUUCAAGUGCACUUGCCAUGCCCAACUAAAAAAGGAGAGGAUAUAGAGAUUAAAAUGUAUAAAUCAAACUGAUAAAGUUAACUGUAGACAAAUUCAUGGCAAAUUUAGGUUUUAUUAUAUGUCAUCGUCACAACUUGCAAUCUAUGCAGCAGAUUUUGUAUAGAUUGAUUAUCACACUCAUGUCCAGUUUAUGAAUAAUAUACGAGUUCAUAGAAAAUUGUAUAUGGAGUAAAUGGGUUAUAUUAGAUAACUUAUAAGAAAAUUACAUAUAUAUAUAUAUAUAUAUAUAUAUAUAGAGCUAGGCUACUAUACUAUCUAUAGUACCGAGCUCCGGUACUAUAGUGUUUGUUUUCGAUCUUAGGGCGUUCAAAUCAACGAUCCACACCGUUAAAUAUGAUCUAGGGUAUAUGAAUUUCUUAGGAAUAAAAUUUUAGUUUUUUUCGAUAUCGUUUACUUAGUAAAUAAAUUAUAUCAAAAUGGACGGUGGAAAUUGAAUAAUCUUUAAAAUUUGAGCAUAGGACUUUUAAAUUCAAGAUCAAGAAUGUUAACCUUAAUCUAUAUAGUUUAAAGUAUUUUCUAUCAAAAUUUGAAGAAAUUUAGAUUCUUCUACACCGUUAAACUCCAAACUCGUCAUAAUAGCCGUUGAAAAUUGACAAUUUUGAAAUAGUUUGAUCAUAAAAUAAACUAUGUCGAAAAAAUAUAAAAUUUUAUUUCUAGAAACUUUAAAUACCCUAGAUCAGUUUUAACGGUAUGGAUCGUUGAUUUGAACGCCCUAAGAUCGAAAAUCAAUACUAUAGUACCGGAACUCGGUACUAUAGAUAGUAUAGUAGCCUAGCUCUAUAUAUAUAUAUAUAUAU
rnacentral:lncRNA from 1 species